rnacentral:misc_RNA from 1 species
UCCGGCUUGUCACUGGCGGUUUCCCCAGAGUGCCCGGCAUAACCCGAUGGCAACUGAGGAUAGGGGUUGCGCUCGUUGCGGGACUUAACCCAACAUUUCACAACACGAGCUGACGACAGCCAUGCACCACCUGUGACUCACCCUCGAAGGCGACCACGUUUCGGCGGCUUGCAGAGUCAUGUCAAGCCCUGGUAAGGUUCUUCGCGUUGCAUCGAAUUAAGCCACAUGCUCCACCGCUUGUGCGGGCCCCCGCCAAUUCCUUUGAGUUUUAAUCUUGCGAUCGUAGUUCCCAGGCGGUUCACUUAAUGCGUUAGCUGCGGCACCGAGGCAAAGCCCCAACACCUAGUGAACAUCGUUUAUGGCCAAGACUAC